CCUACUGUUAUGAAAAAUUUCCUCACACUUUCAUUCAUAAGAUAUUUUUGAGAGAAUAGAGAGAGAAAGUGGGAGCAAGAGGAGAAAAGGAUAGAGAGAAGAGGACUUGAAGAAUCAAGAGUUGGGAGAAGAGAUAGGAGCAAAAUUGAAGCUUAAGCUAGAGAAAUUAACUUAACUAAGAUCCAAGAGUUAGUCGAAGCCAUCAUUUUUCCAAUACAAGGAGUGCUUCCAGAAGUUGGGUAUUCUUCCUCCAAAGGUAGUGCUCUUACAUGGACCACCACUUUAGUCGCAUUUAGAGUAGAUCAAAUUAUGCUAGUGUUGUAUCAUAAACCAAUAUGUGCAAAGUAGAUCAAAUAUAUGUCAAAUAGAAAAAGUUUACGCUUGCAAAGAAGGUUGGUUUCAAACACAGAUGAGGAUAACGACGAAAUUCACAUCCACGACAUUCCUGGAGGACCUGUUGCUUUUGAAAUAUGUGCAAAGUUCUGUUAUGGUAUGUGGCAACUGAGCUGGCAUCUGACAUAGUUGUUAAUGUUGGGGUUGUAAAAUUUUAUCUACAUAAGUUUCCACUUUUGUCCAAAAGUUUACGCUUGCAAAAGUUGGUUUCAACCACAUAUGAGGAGAACGACGAAAUUCACAUCCAUGACAUUCCUGGAUGACCUGUUACUUUUGAAAUAUGUGCGAAGUUCUGUUAUGGGAUUUGCUUGGGACUGGGCGAGCAUGCUUUGAGACGUUGAGUCCCUUGGCUUAUAGUCUUCUGGCAGAAAUUAUACAUCAUGUUCGGCAAGAUACAUCUUUAUCACAUGUUAUUUUGUAGGUAAUUGUCCAAUAACGAUUCAAGAAAAUGAAAAUUUUUGAAGCCCUGGAGCCCAGAACCUUGGCACGGCCCGUGCUAACACUGGCACGGCCGUGCCAGACUUUGCCACAACAAAACCAACACCAAACUCCAGGAACUUGGCACGGCCCGUGCCAACCUCAGCACGGCCGUGCCCGACCCCAGGUAAGGUUAAACCUCAUUUAUCAUCUUCUUCUUCCCUCAUUCACCAAACCAAACAUCUCUCAUCCUUCCAUCUUCUCUCUAAAACCUCCAUAACCACAAAACCUCAAACCUUCAUAUCUCCAUCAAAACUUCACCAAAUCACCAAUUUCUUCACCCAAUCAAUCACAAAAACUACUCCAACCACAACCCUUCAUUCAAAAACAACUUUCAUCCACCCAAUCCAAAACUCAUCCAAAUUCGUAGCCCACAUUAACCUAACCAAAAACCCACAAAUUCCUCACCAAUUUCCACAACCCAACCCCUAAAACUACUUAAACCUUUUCCCCAUCACUAAACCAACCUCUUCCACCAAAAACAUUCACUAAACCCAACCUUCACCAAAACCACAUCAAGUCCAACCAAGGUCAAGGCAAUGGCUUCUAAAAGAAGUGGAAAAGAAGUUGCAACAUCUUCAAGAGGACAUCCCCCAAAGAAGCAAGUACCGACAAAGAACCAUGGCAUAAUAUUCAAGGACAACAAGCAAAGGGAUAGGAACGAAUAUUUGAUGGAUUGAGUCUUGGAGCAAAAGAAAGGGGUUUUGGAGCUGAUUCGGUACGAAAAUACGAAGAUUCGGAGACAAAAAUAUAUCUCCCUCAACUCAGAAAUUUGGCACGGUCCGUGCUAGGCUUGGCACGGCCGUGCCACCCUCCAGAGCUACUUUUGCUGCUUUUGCUUAGAUUUUAAGCUACUUUAUUUUAGUUUACU